UACGUAGGCAGCGAGCGUUGUUCGGAAUUACUGGGCGUAAAGAGUGUGUAGGCGGUGCUCUAAGUUCGGUGUGAAAUCUCCUGGCUCAACUGGGAGGGUGCGCCGGAAACUGGAGUGCUUGAGCGUGGGAGAGGAAAGUGGAAUUCCCGGUGUAGUGGUGAUAUGCGUAGAUAUCGGGAGGAACACCUGUGGCGAAGGCGGCUUUCUGGGCCCUACCUGACGCUGAGACGCGAAAGCGUGGGGAGCGAACCGG
rnacentral:rRNA from 1 species